GAGUUUGAUCAUGGCUCAGGAUGAACGCUAGCGGCAGGCUUAACACAUGCAAGUCGAGGGGUAACAGGUUAGUAGCAAUACUGAUGCUGACGACCGGCGCACGGGUGCGUAACGCGUAUGCAACCUACCUUAUACAGGGGGAUAACCUUUCGAAAGGGAGACUAACACCGCAUAACAUUAUUUCAGGCAUCUGGGAAUAAUUAAUGAGCGAUCAGGUAUAAGAUGGGCAUGCGUAGCAUUAGUUAGAUGGCGAGUAACGCUCACCAUGGCGAUGAUGCUUAGGGGUUCUG
rnacentral:rRNA from 1 species